rnacentral:rRNA from 1 species
AUGGAGAGUUUGAUUCUGGCUCAGAACGAACGCUGGCGGCGUGGAUAAGACAUGCAAGUCGAACGGGAGAAUUGCUAGCUUGCUAAUAAUUCUCUAGUGGCGCACGGGUGAGUAACACGUGAGUAACCUGCCUCUUAGUGGGGGAUAGCCCUGGGAAACCGGGAUUAAUACCGCAUACGAUUGAAAGAUCAAAGCAGCAAUGCGCUAGGAGAUGGGCUCGCGGCCUAUUAGUUAGUUGGUGAGGUAACGGCUCACCAAGGCGAUGACGGGUAGCCGGUCUGAGAGGAUGUCCGGCCACACUGGAACUGAGACACGGUCCAGACACCUACGGGUGGCAGCAGUCGAGAAUCAUUCACAAUGGGGGCAACCCUGAUGGUGCGACGCCGCGUGGGGGAAUGAAGGUCUUCGGAUUGUAAACCCCUGUCAUGUGGGAGCAAAUUAAAAAGAUAGUACCACAAGAGGAAGAGACGGCUAACUCUGUGCCAGCAGCCGCGGUAAUACAGAGGUCUCAAGCGUUGUUCGGAAUCACUGGGCGUAAAGCGUGCGUAGGCUGUUUCGUAAGUCGUGUGUGAAAGGCAGGGGCUCAACCCCUGGAUUGCACAUGAUACUGCGAGACUAGAGUAAUGGAGGGGGAACCGGAAUUCUCGGUGUAGCAGUGAAAUGCGUAGAUAUCGAGAGGAACACUCGUGGCGAAGGCGGGUUCCUGGACAUUAACUGACGCUGAGGCACGAAGGCCAGGGGAGCGAAAGGGAUUAGAUACCCCUGUAGUCCUGGCAGUAAACGGUGCACGCUUGGUGUGCGGGGAAUCGACCCCCUGCGUGCCGGAGCUAACGCGUUAAGCGUGCCGCCUGGGGAGUACGGUCGCAAGAUUAAAACUCAAAGAAAUUGACGGGGACCCGCACAAGCGGUGGAGUAUGUGGCUUAAUUCGAUGCAACGCGAAGAACCUUACCUGGGCUUGACAUGUAAUGAACAACAUGUGAAAGCAUGCGACUCUUCGGAGGCGUUACACAGGUGCUGCAUGGCCGUCGUCAGCUCGUGUCGUGAGAUGUUUGGUUAAGUCCAGCAACGAGCGCAACCCCUGUUGCCAGUUACCAUCGAGUAAUGUCGGGGACUCUGGCGAGACUGCCCAGAUCAACUGGGAGGAAGGUGGGGACGACGUCAGGUCAGUAUGGCCCUUAUGCCCAGGGCUGCACACGUACUACAAUGCCCAGUACAGAGGGGGCCGAAGCCGCGAGGCGGAGGAAAUCCUGAAAACUGGGCCCAGUUCGGACUGUAGGCUGCAACCCGCCUACACGAAGCCGGAAUCGCUAGUAAUGGCGCAUCAGCUACGGCGCCGUGAAUACGUUCCCGGGUCUUGUACACACCGCCCGUCACAUCAUGGAAGCCGGUCGCACCCGAAGUAUCUGAAGCCAACCGCAAGGAGGCAGGGUCCUAAGGUGAGACUGGUAACUGGGAUGAAGUCGUAACAAGGUAGCCGUAGGGGAACCUGCGGCUGGAUCACCUCCUUU